UACGUAGGGUGCAAGCGUUAAUCGGAAUUACUGGGCGUAAAGCGUGCGCAGGCGGUGCUGUAAGACAGGCGUGAAAUCCCCGGGCUUAACCUGGGAACUGCAUUUGUGACUGCAAGGCUAGAGUACGGCAGAGGGGGAUGGAAUUCCGCGUGUAGCAGUGAAAUGCGUAGAUAUGCGGAGGAACACCAAUGGCGAAGGCAAUCCCCUGGGCCUGUACUGACGCUCAUGCACGAAAGCGUGGGGAGCAAACAGG
rnacentral:rRNA from 1 species